UGGGGAAUUUUGGACAAUGGGCGAAAGCCUGAUCCAGCAAUGCCGCGUGUGUGAAGAAGGCCUUCGGGUUGUAAAGCACUUUUGUCCGGAAAGAAAUCCUCUGGGUUAAUACCUCGGGGGAGUGACGGUACCCGGAAGAAUAAGCACCGGCUAACUACGUGCCAGCAGCCGCGGUAAUACGUAGGGUGCAAGCGUUAAUCGGAAUUACUGGGCGUAAAGCGUGCGCAGGCGGUUUUGUAAGACGGAUGUGAAAUCCCCGGGCUUAACCUGGGAACUGCAUUCGUGACUGCAAGGCUAGAGUAUGGCAGAGGGGGUAGAAUUCCACGUGUAGCAGUGAAAUGCGUAGAGAUGUGGAGGAAUACCGAUGGCGAAGGCAGCCCCUGGGCCAAUACUGACGCUCAUGCACGAAAGCGUGGGGAGCAAACAGGAUUAGAUACCCUGGUAGUCCACGCCCUAAACGAUGUCAACUAGUUGUUGGGGAUUCAUUUCCUUAGUAACGUAGCUAACGCGUGAAGUUGACCGCCUGGGGAGUACGGUCGCAAGAUUAAAACUCAAAGGAAUUGACGGGGUCAUAGCUGUUUCCU
rnacentral:rRNA from 1 species